rnacentral:tRNA from 1 species
GAGUCCGUAGCUUAGUUUGGUGGAGCACUUGACUGAUAAUCAAGAGGUCGUGGGUUCAAAUCCCAUCGGACUCA